AACGAACGCUGGCGGCAUGCCUAACACAUGCAAGUCGAACGAGACCUUCGGGCCUAGUGGCGCACGGGUGCGUAACGCGUGGGAACCUGCCCUUAGGUUCGGAAUAACUCCCCGAAAGGGGUGCUAAUACCGGAUAAUGUCUUCGGACCAAAGAUUUCUCGCCAUUGGAUGGGCCCGCGUUGGAUUAGCUAGUUGGUAGUGUAAAAACCUACCAAGGCGACGAUCCAUGGCUGGUCGGGGAGGAUGAUCAGCCACACUGGGACUGAGACACGGCCCAGACUCGUACGGGAGGGAGCAGUGGGGAAUAUUGGGCGAUGGGCGAAAGCCUGAUCCAGCAAUGCCGCGUGAGUGAUGAAGGCCUUAGUGUUGUAAAGCUCUUUUACCCGGGAUGAUAAUGACAGUACCGGGAGAAUAAGCUCCGGCUAACUCCGUG
rnacentral:rRNA from 1 species